AUGUGUGUGCACAGAUCAAUGCCCAUUUGGUGGAGAUAACCCAUGUGUUUGCACAGACCAAUGCCCAUUUGGUGGAGAUAACCCAUGUGUUUGCACAGACCAAUGCCCAUUUGGUGGAGAUAAGCCAUGUGUGUGCACAGAUCAAUGCCCGUUUGGUGGAGAUAACCCAUGUGCCUGCACAAGUCAAUGCCCACUUGCCACCAGCUGCAAUGAGCACCUGGCCAAUUUGUACUUGUAUGUACAAUCUUCCAGCAUCCAGUUAAAAUGGUUCCCUCCAGCCUCUCUUUCCUGUGCCAAUAAGGGAUACGUACUUCCACAUAUAUAGCAAAUAACAAUGAGGGAGGACUGCUGCACAUAGUAAAUAACCAGGCAAGCUUGGGCAUUUUAAUAAUGAAAGCAGGCCAUGCACAUUAUCCCCAAUAGCAACAGUCUGAAGCAAUUGUGAAAGUGAAACGGGUGAGAAGGUGCACUAUCCUCAGUUCUUGCGUGGCCGGGCAGGAAGGAAAUGCAGGAAGAAAAGGAAACUUUGGGGAGGCGAUAAAGGGAGUUGGUGUUUUUACAACUCUGUGAAGAGUGAUAUUACUGAGUGGGAGGCUGUGUAUUGCUUCCAGGAGAGAUCAGUUAAUGGCGGGAUGCUAUAAAAUUUCCUUCAUGAAAUUACCUAUUCAAAAACUAGACUCUGUCUAGAUCAAAUGAGGUAGAAUUUUUAUGUGAUUCUUUUAAGCUGUUUUCACAUUCUUAGCACUGCUAAACAGAAAGAAUCUGCAAGUCUUUGCAAUAUUUAUGCAAAUGCAGAUUUCAGUGCUCAUCAGAAAAAAAAAAACACCCUCUCAAGUCAAAGUUUCAGGGUCACAAAGUACUAGUUUACAGCCCUACUGUGCUCAGCAGUAUUAUGUGUACUACAUUAAGUAAAAUUAGCUGGAAAUCAGUUGAAAGAAAUACAUGUACAUGUACACCAUGUAUGAGACUUGGCUGGUAACCCAAUAUUGCCUAGCAACGUUCUGUGCCUAGCGGUUUUAUCAAAUACAAUGUAUGCCAGGAUUUUUGUACUUUGCUAUGUUUGAUUUAUGGUUGUGCAACGUUUUUAUCUCCCUUUUCUUUUUUUCCACAUCUGGGCACCUUCCUCCAAAUACAAUUUAAAACAGUGGUGUGUUGCUUUCUGCUAGUUGUCACAGGAACGCAAC